rnacentral:rRNA from 1 species
UCAGUGAAAUUGAACUCGCUGUGAAGAUGCAGUGUACCCGCGGCAAGACGGAAAGACCCCGUGAACCUUUACUAUAGCUUGACACUGAACAUUGAGCCUUGAUGUGUAGGAUAGGUGGGAGGCUUUGAAGUGUGGACGCCAGUCUGCAUGGAGCCGACCUUGAAAUACCACCCUUUAAUGUUUGAUGUUCUAACGUGGACCCGUAAUCCGGGUUGCGGACAGUGUCUGGUGGGUAGUUUGACUGGGGCGGUCUCCUCCUAAAGAGUAACGGAGGAGCACGAAGGUUGGCUAAUCCUGGUCGGACAUCAGGAGGUUAGUGCAAUGGCAUAAGCCAGCUUGACUGCGAGCGUGACGGCGCGAGCAGGUGCGAAAGCAGGUCAUAGUGAUCCGGUGGUUCUGAAUGGAAGGGCCAUCGCUCAACGGAUAAAAGGUACUCCGGGGAUAACAGGCUGAUACCGCCCAAGAGUUCAUAUCGACGGCGGUGUUUGGCACCUCGAUGUCGGCUCAUCACAUCCUGGGGCUGAAGUAGGUCCCAAGGGUAUGGCUGUUCGCCAUUUAAAGUGGUACGCGAGCUGGGUUUAGAACGUCGUGAGACAGUUCGGUCCCUA